UACGUAGGUCCCGAGCGUUGUCCGGAUUUAUUGGGCGUAAAGCGAGCGCAGGUGGUUUAUUAAGUCUGGUGUAAAAGGCAGUGGCUCAACCAUUGUAUGCAUUGGAAACUGGUAGACUUGAGUGCAGGAGAGGAGAGUGGAAUUCCAUGUGUAGCGGUGAAAUGCGUAGAUAUAUGGAGGAACACCGGUGGCGAAAGCGGAUCUCUGGCCUGUAACUGACACUGAGGCUCGAAAGCGUGGGGAGCAAACAGG
rnacentral:rRNA from 1 species